rnacentral:lncRNA from 1 species
GUGGUGGUACUCAGAAGAACAUUACUGUGAGGUUGGGAGGGCUGAGGGUGAAAGGGGUGCAGACAGGAGCACAAACCACACCUGUGUCAAAAUUGGCCUUUCUUCGAUCUUGCCAGCAGUAUGCAUACAGUAGGUGCUCACUGUGUGCUACCACUGAAAAACAUAUCCUCAUCUGGUUUGGAGAUGUGAAAUUCUCUCUGCCCCACCCCUCCUCCUUAUCUCUCAAUUCUGCUUGCAUCUCAGGUUCCCUCUGGGUCCUUGGUGGACUACGACUUUGGAGGAAAUCAAUUCUAACCCUGGAUUUGCCAGUGCCUGACAGAUGUGGAGAGCACCUGAAUCAUGGCAUGCCUUGGUUUCCCCCUCAUUCAACUGCCUUUGUAGAUCAUGUUUUAAAACCUUCCACGUCUGGCGUUGGGAACGCAGCGGCGGCUUGGUGGUGGAUAGCAGGAGGCAAAGACUGGAUCCAUCACCUCUCUGUCACGUCCCUCACAGGAGCAUGGCAGCACACGCCGGUAAUUCAGGUGAUAUAGGUAAGAGGACCAAGAGGUUGAGGCUUGGGCUACAUAGUAAGACCUGCCUUAAGAAAGCAACGGUAACAACAAAACCAACCAGCAGUGAGGGCUCUGUAGGUAGAUCAAUGACGGCAUGCCUCCCUAAUGUGCACAGGUUAUGGGGACUGCCUUCCUUUCCAGUCAGGCCACAUGGUUAGGACUGGAAAAGAAUCAGUCACUUGUGGUGGAGGUAGAAUUGUUCACAAAGGAAGUCUUUCUCCCACAUUUCCAGCUCCCAUGCAGAUGGCAUAAGUGGGUGAAUUGUUUUGGUCAAGGGGCUUCUUGAAGGCAAAACUACAAGAGCCAGCGGGUGGAAUAACAUGGCCAGCUCUCUCCCCUUCCCCUCCUUAGGUGAUUACCUCACACGGGGUGCAGGACACAGAAAUAUGGGAUGGAAAGCUACCUGCAUGAGUUUCAUAGAUCCGACAGGCUUCUUGAGAGUAAGGAACGAACACUUGCUGUGGCUAAAGAACCAAGACCGCGGGAGCUGUUACAGCGGCAUAAGCCUAACCUACCUGCGCCUACAAACGCCGCUAGGUGCUUAGUUUGGUGGCUCCUCUCCUCUUCCUCAGGGUUCAGAAAUGGCAAGUCUAUGCCUUGCUCUUCCCGCCUUCCCAGCCUUCCCAGCCUCCCAUCCACUCGGGCUUAGCUCUGUGAUGACUGACUCUCUGUGAGGCCAUUGUGAUCUUUGUAUUAGGGUUGCAGUGUGGAAAUGAAUUGUGUUGUUUGCGUACGUGUCACCACCGACUACUUCUUGUUGAAAUAGACUGUAACAAGUGGUUGAAGUCUCCACUGGAGGGUAAUUUAUAUUUAUUUGAGCUGCCACCAAGUCCUUAUUUAGUUUGCAUAAACUACCCAGGACAGGAGAGGAAUCUCCCUG